rnacentral:lncRNA from 1 species
CUACCUGAGAUUCCCAGAUCGGGUCUCGGAGUCUUCUGUCACUUCUGUGAACAUAUUUUUAGUGUCUGACUCUUCAAGUUCAAAACCCUGUACCUUGUGUUUCUGAACUGGCAGAGUGGCAAGGAACUUGUGGGAGCAGAGAGCACUUCUGAAAGAAGAGAGAUGCUUUUUCAGAUACAAUUGCACUUUGGAAGAAAGGACAAGACCCAGAAGCCAAAGCAGGCAACCUGCCUGGAUUUGGGCACCUAACUCAGAUCAGGUUUCCUAAUUCUAGGAGCAGACGCUGCAUAUCUGAACUACCCGUGCAUCUUUCAAGAGCAACUAUGUGAGGUAGAUUUUUUUUUGGACAUACUGGGAAUUGCGUCCAAAAGGAUCUGCACCAGCUUUCCAAACUUCAAAUUUCAAGUGAAACACGUGAGAAGAGAGGAAAAAUCUGACAGAAGAGGUGAAUCAGAACUGAGGAUUGUGCCAUUUUGCACUCAGAUGGGACAGGAUCUUGCCUUGACUGUGCUGGCAGCCAGGCAUGUGCUGAUUCUGCUGGUGAACAUGGCAAAACCCAGACUCCUCAGCAUGGUGGUGGGCUGGGGAUCUGGGACCAGCAGUGCAGUUUGUGAUGGAGAAGGCAAGAGCGAGAAACGAAAAGCAGACCAAAGGGAGGCAAAAACGAAGAAGCUUACAAAAUUAAUCUUGUAUAUAUUAGAUGGAAUAUAA